UACGUAGGGGGCAAGCGUUGUCCGGAAUCAUUGGGCGUAAAGAGCGUGUAGGCGGUUCGGUAAGUCGGCUGUGAAAGUCCAGGGCUCAACCCUGGGAUGCCGGUCGAUACUGCCGGACUAGAGUUCGGAAGAGGCGAGUGGAAUUCCCGGUGUAGCGGUGAAAUGCGCAGAUAUCGAGGAGGAACACCGGUGGCGAAGGCGGG
rnacentral:rRNA from 1 species